rnacentral:sRNA from 1 species
UCCAUUGUUCCUUAGUAACUCCUGACGGCUUCUCUCAGUUAUCAUAGCUCUUAGGAGCUGCAGCCUUAACUCCACCUCUUUCAUUUUAGGCCUUUCUUCUCCUCUGAUUCGUAAACAUAUUUCUGCAAGCGAUGCCAUUUCGUUUAUUUCACUUUCAUUUGCUUCCUUAGCAAUUUGGGGAUCCACUAUUUCCAUGAUUGUUCCAUGUUGUAGUGUUUGAAGAAAGCAAUGACCUAGGUUUUGGUUUUCACCGAAACAAUUUACUAUGAUAGGCUUCUUCCUUGUUAGGAUCUCAACAAGUAUAACACCAAAGCUGUAAACAUCACUUUUCUCAGUUAGUUGGCAUGUAUGGAAGUAUUCAGGAUCCAAAUACCCAAAUGUCCCUUGUACAAUUGUCACCACACGAGUUUCGUCAAUGGAGAUGGAUCUUGACGCGCCAAAGUCUGAAACCUUCGAAGUGUAAUUGUCGUUUAAGAGUAUAUUGGCUGAUUUCACAUCUCUAUGGAAUAUGGGUAUUGAUGCAGCAGAGUGGAGUCAGAUAGUAAAUACGAUAGCGAUCAAGCUUAUCAGAGACAGCAUACCCUCACAGCCAUCUUCGAUAUAGGCAUUUCCUCCGUAGCCCAAAGAGCACUUGCAAUGGUAGCCAGUAGAUCUAU